GACGAACGCUGGCGGCGUGCUUAACACAUGCAAGUCGAACGGAAAGGCCCUGCUUUUGUGGGGUGCUCGAGUGGCGAACGGGUGAGUAACACGUGAGUAACCUGCCCUUGACUUUGGGAUAACUUCAGGAAACUGGGGCUAAUACCGGAUAGGAGCUCCUGCUGCAUGGUGGGGGUUGGAAAGUUUCGGCGGUUGGGGAUGGACUCGCGGCUUAUCAGCUUGUUGGUGGGGUAGUGGCUUACCAAGGCUUUGACGGGUAGCCGGCCUGAGAGGGUGACCGGCCACAUUGGGACUGCGAUACGGCCCAGCCUCCUCCGGGAGGCAGCAGUGGGGAAUAUUGCACAAUGGGCGGAAGCCUGAUGCAGCAACGCCGCGUGCGGGAUGACGGCCUUCGGGUUGUAAACCGCUUUCGCCUGUGACGAAGCGUGAGUGACGGUAAUGGGUAAAGAAGCACCGGCUAACUACGUG
rnacentral:rRNA from 1 species